AAGCCCGUGAAAUGGUCACAGUCUCAAUAAUUCCUUAUAACUCUCCCAUGUGUCAAACAAAGAUUCACUUUCUUCCUGUCUAAAACUGUUAAUCUCAUUUUUUACUU